rnacentral:lncRNA from 1 species
UUCCCUUCCCCCAGGGUCAAUUAUGUUCUGAUAAAACCCCAGCAGGUUAGCCUCUAGUUAAACAGUUUCACCUGAGAGCAGACCUUGUUAAGAAGAACAAGGUGCUCUGGGGUUUUUAAAAAUGAUUCCUUUUCUCCUCCGCCUGCUGGAAGCACCAGGAGAUUUUUCGCAUGUUCACUGUGAACCCAGUAGAGCCCUAAGAUGUAAAUUCAUAAAAGUAUUGGGGCCAUCAGAUGACUAAGUCCUCUUGGAGUAUUUGCUCUUCACUGAGCUUCAUCAAUUGCAUUUCAGUCUUCCAACUCUGACAGUGGUUCCCAAGGAGGUUUUGGCUUGUGGGUCUCUGCUCAGGGAGGUCCUGACCCAGACCUUCUGAGUGGUUCCUGUGCCACUGUCUCUGAAAACUCCUCUCUUAGAGAAAGCUUCCCCUCUCAUCAGCCCUGUCCGAGUGCUGACUAAUAAAUCAUGCCAUGUGCUACUGCCUCCUGUGGGCCUGUCUCUUCCUGGGUGAAUUCCAAAAUCUUCAAGAUUACCAAAGAGGUCCUUCUGGCUCUGCUUUGUGGGACACCCCCUCAGCACAGCUUCAUGAAUGGUGCUAGGUCUGCACCCAGGAGCCCAACCAGUGAAACCCUGGUCUGUCGAAGUGGAGCAGUGAACUUCACCACGCAGCCACAGGGCCGGCCCCUGUAUGAAAUUUUCAAUGGACGUAUUUGACAAAGGACUUAUAUCUGAAAUAUGUUAAGCAUUCUUGCCACCAAUAAGAAAAUCACUGACUAUGCAAUAGAUAAUAUGGGCAAAUGAUUUGAAUUUAUAUAUUAUAAAAGAUGAUAUAAAAUGGUCAUUCAACUUAUGAAAAUAUGCUUAAAAUCAUUAGUCACCAGGAAAAUGCAAUUUAAAAUUACAUUGCAAUGCAAUUGCACAACCAAAAAGAAUGACUGAAAUGAAAAAUUGACACUACCAAAUAUUAGCAAAGAUAUGGUGCAAAUGGAAAUCUCUUACACUUCUGGUGUCAGUUUAAGUUGAAGCACCCAACCAAUUGGUUUGCACUAUCAUCUAGUGUUAAACAUACACACAUUUUAUGACUCAGCAAUUCCACUCCUAGGUAUUUACCUGAGAGAAAUGUGUACAUUAUUCAUUAAGGACUCGUGUAAGGGUGUUUUUAGCAGCACUUUGCAUGAUGGCCCCAAUUAAAAAAAACAAAAACAAAUGCCCAUUAAAUUUAGUAUACUGUGAUAUAUUCAUGUAAUGUAAUAU